rnacentral:rRNA from 1 species
GAGAAGCAACCUCGCGAGGGUGAGACAAAUCUACAAAAGCCGUUCUCAGUUCGGAUUGAAGUCUGCAACUCGACUUCAUGAAGUCGGAAUCGCUAGUAAUCGCGGAUCAGCAUGCCGCGGUGAAUACGUUCCCGGGCCUU